rnacentral:tRNA from 1 species
GGUGCUAUAGCUCAGUUGGUUGACUCGGAAGCUGAGCCUUUGGCGAGGCUUUUGAGGCCGCAGAGAGCAAAGGACUGAAAAUCCUUGUGUCCCCGGUUCGAUUCCUGGUGGUACCA